CAUGGUAGGAUUGACAGAUGAAGCUCUUUCUGAUUCUAUGGGUGGUGGUGCAUGGCCGUCUUAGUUCGUGGAUUGAUUUGUCUGGUUAAUUCCGAUAACGAACGAGACCUUUCCUACUCGUUACUUGCUCAUGGGUCUUAUCUCAUGGCACGCAAGUUCUUAGCGGGACUGCUGGCGUUUAGCCAGAGGAAGUUCGAGGCAAUAACAGGUCUGUGAUGCCCUUAGAU
rnacentral:ncRNA from 1 species